UACAGCCAGUUGGUCUGUGGUUCAUGUUUCGUUAGCUUAGUAUGCUACUUGUGUGUUACCUGACUUGAAUGCCGUGAUUUGUGAAAACAUAUAUAAAGAUGUAGCGGCAAACAUACUGAAUUGGUUCUUUCUAUCAAAGCGGUAGGGAAUGUCUACUCCCAGCAAGGGACAUGCACAGCCACCACCGCCGCCUGUAUCUAGUAUUUCAGAAGAGUCCGACCGAGAUGGGUAUGUAUCUUAGAACUGCGUUUCUAAACCAGCCAUGCAGGACAUUGUAAGUUGUGACUGACUUAUUUAUCUUUUGAAUCAGGGACAAAUAAUUCGCUAUGCAAGGUGUUCAACCGUUGGGCAAAGAAACCGAAGCGAUUGGUGUGCUAGAAUCUAGGUGAGUUCGUCUUACAACUGCGACCGUAAUGCAUUGUUUUGUUGAUGAAUAUAUUUAUUUAGAUUCGUUUUAUAUUCACAGCAUGCACUCCUUGAGCAUUGCUGAAGAGCAGCAGCAUGACUCUCUGGAUGAGGAGGAGGCGAAUUAUAUGAGGAAUAGCAUGUAAGUCUUGCACAUGAAACCAUCUUAGUUCGUGUUCUUUUGUGCUUCAAGUUUAUGGUGUUGUGGGUGGGUGUGUGUGUUUUGUAAAUCAUUUUUAUUUACAGUAUUGACAUGGAUGAUUGCUGGGAGGAUCCUAAUCAGAAGGGCUUGGAAGAAGAUUGGGACAGCUCUGAUGAAGACUAUAGUCCUUUUCUUCAUCUACGUGCCCCAGCUAUGACUGCCAACAUCAACCAACUCCUGGAGAUAAGCAUGGAUAAAGCCGUGCUUGAUGUGGCAACACCCAAUCCUCCAGGUACAGACAGUACUUCAACAAGAAGUCCGAGCACUGGAAUGUAUAUGUGUUGAAGGAGAGCAAAGGCUACCAUUACAUUCCAGACCUGCAGAAGGCCAUCCUUGCUGAGAGGCUGGGAAGUGGAAUGGGCCUUCCCAGAAUACAGGGUCUAAGGCCUGAUGAUCCCAGGCGCUUGGGUUUGCUUGCCGCAACGCAGCCUCCAUCCACAUUUGAACUUGUCACGGCUCAGGUUUCACGGGGAGAGGGUGGUGCCCAAAGUGAAUUCUAAACUAUUCCAUUCUUUCAUAGCUGUGUAUGUAAAUAAUUUGCAAAUAAUUCAAGAGUCGUAAAAAGAAAUAUUUUUUUAUUUAUAUGUAAAUAAAAAACAAUGAACAUCAAACUGUACA
rnacentral:lncRNA from 1 species